rnacentral:rRNA from 1 species
UACGAGGGGAGCUAGCGUUGUUCGGAAUUACUGGGCGUAAAGGGCGUGUAGGCGGUACCCUAAGUCAGAUGUGAAAGCCCUGGGCUUAACCUAGGAUGUGCAUUUGAUACUGUGGAACUAGAGAUCGGGAGAGGAAAGUGGAAUUACGAGUGUAGAGGUGAAAUUCGUAGAUAUUCGUAAGAACACCAGUGGCGAAGGCGACUUUCUGGCCCGAUACUGACGCUAAGGCGCGAAAGCGUGGGGAGCAAACAGG